ACAGGUUAAUCCCGCUCCUGAAACUCGAAGCUUCUUCUUUUUUUCCAUCAAAACAAAUGACCGCCAGAAACAAAUAUACAAGAGAAAGAAAAAGGAAAGACAAGAGAUGGACAAAAUGAAGAACGAAGAGGUUCAAUCAACGGCCAAAAAGCAGAGAAUCGCAACUCACACCCACAUCAAAGGCCUUGGUCUCGAUAUGGAUAAAAAAUCUUUGCAUGCAGCAGUUAUGGGUGGAGCUGCUUCAGCAAUGGCUGUGGGAAUUAUUUUUAUUGAAAGAUAUAAAUCUAGGAACAAUGUACCUAUUGAGCCUAGUGUUAAUACAUUGAUAGUGUUUUGUGUAGAGGUGAUACCCAUUGUAUGAACCAAAAAAGGAUGAGACUAGUUGCAUUUUUUAUAUUAUGUCACAUUCUUAGUAGGAAUAAUUUACUACAAUCAGUUAGAUAUGUGUCUAUGAGAGAGCAAGAUUAUAUUUUUGCAUCUAAUUGGUCAUAAUGUAAGUUUGCUGGUAAUUGGAUUGAAAUAUUUUAGAUCAAUUGAGACAGUUCAUUGAUACUUUAGAACUGUCUUGAAAGCAAUAUUGAAAUUAUAUAAAGAUAUGAUUAGGUUACCAGAUGAUUCCACUCCACCUGAAAUAAGGAAUAAUCAGAGAUAUUAUCUAUACUUUAAGGAUUGUGUAGGAGCAUUAGAUGGUACUCAUAUUCGUGCUUCUGUGCCACUUGAGAUUCAAGAAAGAUUUCGUGAUCGAAAAGGGGAAAUGACAUGAAAUGUUUUGGCUGCAAUCGGUUUUGACUUGAGAUUUAACUAUGUGCUUGCUGCUUGGGAGGGAAGUGCACAUGAUUCUUAUAUUUUGACUGAUGCAUUUUUGAGGCCUUGAGGAUUUAGCACUUCGAAAGGGUAAAUAUUAUCUUGCUGAUGAUGGAUAUGGCAUAUGGAAUGGAAUUUUAAGUCCAUAUCGAGGUGUUCGAAAUCAUUUGGAGGAGUUUAGUGAUCAUCAUCUUGAGAAUGAGAAGGAGCUUUUUAAACUUCGUCAUUCUUCAUUGCGAACUAGUGUUGAACGAGUAUUUGGAAUUUUGAAGAAGUAUUUUCGUGUGUUAGAUUUUGAACCAUUUUGGAAUUAUGACACACAAGGAGAUAUAGUUUUAGCUUGUUGUAUCAUCCAUAACCACAUAAUGGGAGUUGAUCCUAAUGACUCAAUCAAGAAUUAGUAGAUAACACAGAGUUUGAAAGGAUGAGAGUUCCUCAAACAGCUUGUGAAGAGAGAGAAGAAACUAAAGAAUGGAUGACAAAAAGAGAUGAAACUGCACAUGCUAUGUGGAUUGAUUUUAAGAAUGGGGGAAUUUAAUUUGUGAAUUGACUAUAAGAUUAUGAGGAUGUAGUUUUUCUGUUUUUUUUCCUUACAUUGAUACGUUGUGAAGGUUUUUAUUAUGUAUGUUGUUUUCUACUUGCUGGAAGACGUUGUUAUGAACAUUUAAGUUGUUAUUAACAGUUGAUAUAGACAUUUGUUUUUUUG
rnacentral:sRNA from 10 species